AUCCAACAUUCGUACGAAUGUAUGGAUUCGAAUGAGUUCGAAAAUGCCAUUCUUGUUUACGUACAAAGGCCAUACGAAUCCAUUCGUAUCGCAUACGAAUGCGAUACGUAUACGAAAAAGGUGGAUGUCUAUGCAAAAAUGGUUGAUGUCUAGACUUAAGGGUUAGAAAAGGUUUAAACGUCAGGUGAGAAAUGUCAAGUGUGUCAAGCCGAUUGAGCGAGGUUCCUGACGGCAAACAGUUUUUUUACUGAAUGAAAAUGAAAUAUGUUUUUAUUAUAAUUUGCAUAAUAAAAUGGUCUUUUUUGAGAAACAUUUAUAGUAAACGUAUGCCUACAACACAAGAUAAUCGCGGUUACUUAAAAUUUUCCUUUUAUAAAUAAAAUUUGUUUGGCGAAAUAUGUAAUUGGAACCAAAUUUACAAACUCCGAUGCAAAAACAUAAGAGCGUCAUGGGCCUGCAUGAUGCAAUAAAACUUGACUGUUUACAUUUUGUAAUCACCUUGAAAAUUAUUUUGUAAGAAGUAUUUUCGCGUUUUUUAAAUAUUUCUAGUAAGCAGACGUGUGGUGGUCGAGUGCAAAUCGACGAACAUGGAUUAUGAUGCGGUAGAAGUAAUUCAAUUUUAUCAAAAAGUGAUCGUUUCUGUUGAUGUUUCCGAUUAUUUGCGGCAGCAGAAAAAUGUUCAACGAAAAGUACGGCAUAGUAGAAAAAAGUUUGAUCUGUUUUUUGAUCCGUACUUAACAUGAUACGUAUAAAUUCAUAGAAAGUUAUUUUUCGAAUCGGUGUCAACUUUAGAACUGAAUCUGAUGAAACUGAUAUUGAUACGGUAACUGUGCUAUCAAAACCGACAAUUAUCCAGCAUACCGCUAAUUGUUGUUCCCGCAGAUAAGGAAAUCAGCCUGAUCUACAAGCGGCCUAAACAACAGAACAAGCCGAUCCACGUUACGCUAAAGCAUCGUGCGUUAAAGAAGAUGAAAAACAUCAUAGGCAAAACUUUCAUCCGCCCGCCCUGUGUUGUGCUAGGCUAGUGCUGUGUGCUGUCAUGCAAUCCCAGUAAACGGCUGCGACGUAUAAGGGUUGUGUCACUUUUCCGAAAGUUCGGCUGCCGCUUUCCCAAAAAAGCCCAAUGAACAAAGGUGGAUAUGGAUGUGUGGUUCGUUCGAGUUGUUAUUAUGGAUUAAUUACAAAAAUCGAGUCGACUGGACUUAUUUAUUUACUCAAAAAUGAGACGAGUUACUCGUCGAAGCUUCUAUAAAACAGCCUUGUCGUCGUGUACUCUGUAAGUAGAAAAUGAUGAAAAAUAAAAUAGUCACUAAACCCUA